rnacentral:lncRNA from 1 species
GGUGUGGUUUUCUUUCUUUAUUUCUUCUUGAUAAAAAGAAUCAGUUUGCUUUUUAAUCUAAUUUGCAGGGAUUAAUUUACUUAUUCUUUGAGUAAAAGGAGCAAAAUAGAAUCUGACUCUUAUAUUGGGAUCUCCAUGAUAGUUUUACCUAUUUCACAUUUUGAUUGGUUUUUUUAUAGAAACUGGGAACUAUCUGCACCAUGGUGGAAAAGCCAGAUCAAGGUACCUGUAAAGUUUGCAAUGGGGGACCUUGAUCUUGUGUAUACAAUGCCUGGUAUGAAGGAUUAUAUUCACAACGGUGGGUUCAAAAGGGAUGUGCCCUUCCUUGAAGAAGCUCUUGUCAUCAAUGGAGUUUCUCAUUGGAUCCACCAAGAAAUACCUGAUCAAAUCAAUCAAUUAUUGUUCGACUUCUUCUCCAAGUUCCAUUAAAUUUUAAUAAUAAUAACAAAAUCCAAAUUUAGUAAAAAUAGAAAAAAAAAACAUGUUCUUCGUUUGUUGUUUUUAAUUUUUAAGUCCAAAGGUUGAUUCGAAAUUUGAGAGGAUUAAAAAGAAUAUUAGAUCCAAAAAAUAGGUUUGGAUAAAAAUAUUAGUUUUGUUUAACAUAUAAAUCAGGUUUAGGCUUGAUCUUUCAAUGUUUGAGCUCGACCUGAUUAUUAAGGUUAUAAUAUAUUGUUACUUUUAUAUAUGAUGUAAUAUAGUUAUCUACAAAUAUAGACGAACUUGAAUAAGAUUUUAAGUUUAUAUUUCGAGUUCGAUUAAACUUAAACAAGUAUAAAUUAUAUUAAUAUUACAUUUUAAAUUCAGCCUAACUUAUAACACUUUUGUUUCAAUUAUUGUUUUUUUAGUGAAAAUUAUUAUUUUUUUGUUGAAAAUAAAGAGUAUUUUAACAGAAUUUAUUUUAUCAUUUAAAUAAUAUGACAGUAUUCACAUGAUAAUAUACGUUUAUAUUAAUAAAAUUAAUAAAUAUUAAUUUUAUUUAUUUAUUUUAGAUGGUUUGACAAAUAACGAACUAAAAAAGGGAAAGAGCUAAACCAAUAAAAUCGAGAUCACGAUGUAUCAUGUUUAUUAUUUUGAUAGUAGGACAAGCAUUUAAGAUAACAUGAUAAGAUAUGAACUGUUUAAAACAUGUGAGACCCACCAAUUAGCAGCAACUUCCGCCCGUGUGUUGUUGAUUUGCAAUAAACGUUUGCCAUUUUGAAGACGAAAACUAACCGUCUUGAUGCAGUUGCGUAGCUUGACAAUGUUAUUUGGGUCGACAAGGGAGCAGGCCGUUCCAUAACCAUAAUCAUAAUCUCCUUUCCUGCAUGAUAUGUGGAUGUUGUUUUAAAUAGAUUGAUUAGAUCAAGAAUAGAUUAAAGUAUUAAUUUAGAAAAUGAUUUUAAAUCGAUUAAAUUAGGAAUCGGCAUGAGUCAGUCCAAUUGAAUUUUUUAAAACUUUUAAUUUGAAUUUGAAUUGACGAAUCGAUGACUUGACCAAUUUUACAUAGAUCUGUCCAUUGGUUGGACUGAGUCUUGAAAAAAUUUUGGACUGUUAGAUAGAUCCAGGCUUGGCCCGACUUGACUCAAAAAAUAGAUUUAAAAUUUUAUCGAAAGCCGACCUAGAUAAAAAUGUUAAAAUUCAGAUUCAGUCUGGCCCGACUCGUAUUAAAUUUUUUAAAAAUAUAUAAUAUAUCAACAACACUAAAAACAUUAAAAUAAAUAUUUCUUAACAAUUUGAAAAUAAAUUUAAAAAACUUUAUACUUAAAUAACUGUAAGAUAAGUACAACUUAAUAAGUAAAUGUCUCUAAAAUAAUAGUAAAAUUAAAAUAAAAUAAGAGUUAUAUAAUGUCCAAACAACAACAACAAAAUAAUAACAUAAUAUUGAAAUGAUAGCAAAACAAUAAAAAAAUAACAAAAAAAGUAGUGAAAAAACAAGAAAACGGUAGAUCCUUUUUUCUUUUUACAAAUUCGGGUUGGGCCGAGAUAAAAAUUGUCUUACCAGAAGCCCAGUUUAUUUUCUAAACAGAUCAUAUUUUUUUAUCUAUACUUAUUUUUUGAACUUAUAAAAAAACCGGUUUAAAAAACAUUGAUAUCGCAAUUUAAAACAACAUUAGGUCUAUUAUUAUAUAUAACGAAAAGCUUAAGCUUAAGCUUAAGAAAGUGAUAAGACAUUAAAGAAGAGAUGAAAAGUAUGGAGGGAAUUCAACACAAAACAGUGAGCGUCAAUGGCAUCAACAUGCACAUAGCCGAGAAAGGGGAAGGUCCUUUGAUUCUCUUCAUCCAUGGCUUCCCUGAGCUCUGGUAUACAUGGCGCCACCAGAUCAACGGUUUAUCUGCCCUUGGCUACCGUGCUUUGGCGCCCGACCUCCGUGGUUACGGUGGAACCGAUGCGCCGGAUUGCGUCGCCGACUACACUUGCUUCCACGUGGUGGGAGACCUCAUCGCGCUUCUGGACACUGAGGCGCCGCCGGAUAAGGAGGAUAAGGUGUUUGUCGUAGGGCACGAUUGGGGUGCCAUCAUUGCUUGGUUCUUGUGCUUGUUUAGGCCGGACCGGGUUAAAGCUUUGUUCAAUUUGAGUGCGCCGUUUAUUCCUUGCGAUCCUCGGUUUAAACCAGUCGAGACUUUGGAAGUUCUCCUUGGGAAGGAUUAUUAUAUCGUUCGGUUUCAGGUUCGAAUAUUUUAUCUUUUUUCCUUUUAUUUUUAAUCAAUUUCGGUAAAAAUACCAUGGCAUUGAACUAAAUGCUAAAUUAGUCUCUAUAGAUUAAAUUAAAGAGUAAAUUAAUUUUUUUUAAUUAAUUCAUUUUUACUAUUAAAAACUGAAAUAUUUUAAUUAAUACAAUAUUGAUACUUUGAAAACUUAAAUAUGCAUAUGAAACUUUGAUUGUAGUUUCAGUGUACACAUGAAAUUUUGAUAGUAAUUCCUCUGCACACAUCUAAAAAAAAGCAUAAUAACUUAUUUAACCCCCAAUUUUAUAAAAAAAAAUCAUUUUAACCUUUCAUCUAAUUUUUCACUUAUUUUCACUCUUAAAUUUGUGAUGUUUGUCAAAUCACUCAAAACAGAUGAAAAAGUUAAUAUCUGUUAAUUAUGUUGACAUGGCAUACAUGUAGAUGGCAAGUUAGCAAUUAAAUAAAAUUUUAAAUAUAACAAAUUUAGAAAAUAUAUAAAUACUUUUUUUAAUAUUUUACCCAAAUCUAUCUAUAUUUGUAAAAUGAGUAACUCGAACUCAUUUUAGACCUGCUCAUUUUUAAAAAAUAUAUAUUAAAAAUAUUAAUAUUAUUUUAAGUUUAAUAUUUAAUAAUUAUAUAUAUAAUUCUUUUAUUAAAAUUAUAUAUAUCUUAAUAUUUUUUUAAUAUUUACAUUAUAAUAUUAUAUAUCACUUUAGAUAUUUUUUUAUUAUAAAUUAUAAAAUAUAUAAAAGAAUAACAUAAUAUAUUAGAAAUUUCAAAAAUGGGCUAGGUUGGGCUAAAUCUAGGCCUUAAAUGUUCAAGUUCGAAUCUUACCAAUAUUUUAAAAGAGUCUUUUUUUUUUGUCAAAUCUCAUUUUUCAGGCUUAAUAUUUUUAUUAAAAUCCUUUCAAAAUUCGAACGAACUUUUGAACUUGGACAGAUAGCCCAUCCCAUGAACAAAUUUAAUUUUAAGUUAAAUUGGAUUUUUGAGUUUAGGAUUGGACUAAUUUGAAUGGUUAACUUUUUAUGUUAAAUCGAAUUUGGUCUAGCUUGAAUUUAAGUUUAUCGGAUUGAGUUCUCGAAUUCGAGUCAUAAUCGAGAGGGUAUAACAGUAAAUUUGGUGCAGGAACCUGGAGAAAUAGAGGCGGAAUUUGCAGAGAUUAGUCUAAGACGAGCAGUUUUGGAGCUGUUAUCAUACCGGAUACCCGACCCACUUUAUUUACCAAAGGGAAAUCUAUUCGGGCAUCCACUGGACUGCCCGGUUAACUUGCCGCCAUGGUUGUCGGACCAAGACGCCGAUUACUACGCUAACCAGUUCCAGGAAACCGGCAUUACCGGUGCCCUCAAUUAUUACCGCAACAUAGAUACGUAUGUUUUUCUUCCCGCUACCAGUCACCUAACAAAUUUAUUUGCUUCCUUAAUUAUGAAAAAUUACAAAAUAAUUAUCUAACUAUUUGUAAAUUUCUUUUUUAAUCACCUAACUAUAAAAAGUUACAAAUUUGUCACUCAACUAUUCCAAUUUGUCUUCUUCUUUUUUUCUCAACCAACUAUAUUGGAUUUCUAGGUGUUUUCAUUUUUACGUUAAUCAGCCGAAGACCAAAAAAGACAAAAUUGAAUAACUAUGAGAUAAUUUUGUAACUUUUCAUAUUUGGAUGAUCAAAAAAGGAAAAACAAAAGUUGGGUGACUACUAAUGUAGAUUACCCAAUUAUUAAUUAUGGGUUUUUCAUGUUAGUUAAAAUACGCUCUAAGUCCCUUUACUUUUUGUAGAUUUAAAAUUUAAUCCUUUAUUUCAGAUUUAAAAAUACAAAUUUAAUUAUUAAUACUGUUAAAAAUUUUCGAUUAAAUACAUAUUCAUUACAGUGUCAUUUUUUUUUAUAAUUAACUAAAGUUGGUUUUGUGAUAGAGACUGGGAACUAUUAGCACCAUGGUGGAAAAGCCAGAUCCAGGUCCCUGUAAAGUUUGCAAUGGGGGACCAUGAUCUCGUAUAUACAAUGCCUGGUGUCAAAGAUUAUAUUCACAACGGUGGGUUUAAAAGGAAUGUGCCCUUUCUUGAAGAAGCUCUUGUCAUCAAUGGAGUUUCUCAUUGGAUCAAUGAGGAAAUACCUGAUCAAAUCAAUCAAUUAUUGUUCGAUUUCUUCUCCAAGUUCAAUUAAAAUUAAAUAACAAUAUCAAAUUUAGUAAAAAUAAAAAGGUCUUACCUUUGUUGUUGUGUUUUAUCUUUCUCGAUAAUCGAAAGAGUUUACGUUAAGACUUAUUUCGAGCAGUGAUUAGAAUUAUUGAAAGAAUUUAUUAUUUCAAAUUAGGCAUGUUCAUGGGCUAGUAGUUUGAGGAUUCGUUUGAAAUUUGAGAGGACUUGAGAAAAAUAUUAGACUUAAAAAAUAUAUUUGGGCAAAAAUAUCAGGCAUGUUUAAAAUAUGAGUCGGGUUUGGGCUCAAACAUUCAAGGCUUGAGUUCGGCUUGGCCUGGCCCGUUUUCUAAGAUUGUAAUAUAUGUUGCAC